GAUGAACGCUGGCGGCGUGCCUAAUACAUGCAAGUCGAGCGAACAGACGAGGAGCUUGCUCCUCUGACGUUAGCGGCGGACGGGUGAGUAACACGUGGAUAACCUACCUAUAAGACUGGGAUAACUUCGGGAAACCGGAGCUAAUACCGGAUAAUUUAUUGAACCGCAUGGUUCAAUAGUGAAAGACGGUUUUGCUGUCACUUAUAGAUGGAUCCGCGCCGCAUUAGCUAGUUGUUAAGGUAACGGCUUACCAAGGCAACGAUGCGUAGCCGACCUGAGAGGGGGAUCGGCCACACUGGAACUGAGACACGGUCCAGACUCCUACGGGAGGCAGCAGUAGGGAAUCUGCCGCAAUGGGCGAAAGCCUGACGGAGCAACGCCGCGUGAGUGAUGAAGGUCUUCGGAUCGUAAAACUCUGUUAUUAGGGAAGACCAAAUGUGUAAGUAACUAUGCACGUCUUGACGGUACCUAAGCAGAAAGCCACGGCUAACUACGUG
rnacentral:rRNA from 1 species